UCGAGUGACCCUGCGCCGAAAAUGUACCGGGGCUAAACAUAUUACCGAAGCUGUGGAGUACACCUUUAGGUGUAUUGGUAGGAGAGCGUUCUAAGGGCGUUGAAGGCAGAUCGUGAGGACUGCUGGAGCGCUUAGAAGUGAGAAUGCCGGUAUGAGUAGCGAAAGACAGGUGAGAAUCCUGUCCACCGAAUGACUAAGGUU
rnacentral:rRNA from 1 species